UUCCCUAUGAAUCAUCAGCUGUCAUUUGAGAAAAACAAAACGUAGUUCGGUGAAAUUCUUGCAAAUUUCCGUUAAAAUAGUCGGAAAAACCACUUGAUAUGUCGGUUAAUACGGCCCACGCCAACAAUGGCGUGCUUAUCCAUGCGGGAGAGUACAUCCUGCUGCACAGCGACAGCGUUUCCAUGGAGUUUUCCGGUCAGGAUAACCCCAUUUUCAAGGGAUCCAAGGGGGGCAGGAUUUACCUUACCUCCCAUCGAAUGAUCUUCAAUAGCAAGAAGUCCUCGGAUGCGAUGCAGUCCUUCAGUGCUCCCUUCGUUGCCCUUUCCGAUGUGGAGAUCGAACAGCCUGUUUUCGGGGCCAACUACAUCAAGGGAAAGGUGCGCGCCCAGCCAAAUGGAAACUACGUGGGCGAGGUCAAGUUCAAGCUCCAUUUCAAGGCCGGCGGCGCCAUCGAAUAUGGCCAGGCUCUGCUCCGCUCCGCCAAGACGGCGAUGAACAACUACCAUCGCGGCGGUCUGGUCGGUGAUGAUCCGCCACCGUACCAACCGGCUGGAGCCUGGAAUGAGGCACCACUGCCGGCGUAUCAGCCGCCGCCCGGCUACUACGGCUGGCUGCCGCAGCACGAUGCCUUCAGCGGCCCGGCGCCGAAUACGGUCUUCAUGAGCGACAACCCGCCGCCGUAUCCGGGGAUCGCACCACCGGCUCAGCAGCCAGCACCACAACCACAGCCGCAGGCACCGUCGUCGAAUGAACCCAAUUGGUAUGGUUUUUCAGCACCGCCGCCGCAGCAGCAGCAACAGCAGCAGCCGGGCUACGGACCGCAGGGAUGGGCCGGUGGCUAUGUCCAGCCACCGCCGUACGCCUCAUGCGCUCCCAACUGUCCACCAGGACCGCCAUAUGCCACCCCGGCUCAGACAUACAAUGGACCGCAGCCCUAUGGCGGUUACGGCAAUGUUCCCGGCGGAUUUAACACCCCGGGACUUCAGCAACCGAAUGGAUAUCCUGGUGGCUAUCCGGGUGGACCUCCGGGUCAACAGGCCGGAGGAUUUCAGCAACCUAAUGGCUAUCCGGGUGGACCACCGCCCCAGGGUCAACAGGCAGCAGGAGCAGCCGGAGGAGCCGCUGCAUCUGGAGCCAGCUUUAUGGGCUUCAGCCUGCCGCCAGGAAUGUAAUAAAAUGCAAACUACUGUACCUCAAAUAGCCAUCCCGACAAUAGCAAGAUUUGGCAGCACUCAUCAUUAUUUCUAUCCAAUCCAAAGACCUAUGUGUGUUGUCCUGAUUCCAGCUCUAAUACCAUAGGCAUAAUUUGCGAAAGAUUCCAAAGAAGCAGAAGCUGCAGCAAGUGCGUAUAACACACCCUACAACCAAGGCAGACCCAGUGGAUCAGGAAACAGCGAUUUACCACCUUCUUAUAACAACUUGCCACCCAGCUAUGAUGAUGCAUCGAAAAAAAGUCAAUAAUAACGACUGCAUACUAUAUUCCCUUAUUAAAGAAUACGAUAUAACAAAGUAA